ACCACAAGCCUCCUCGCUGAGAAAGCAAGCGGACUCACAGUUUUUCAGGGAGCCUGCAGCCGUGAUCCAGUUCUUUCAAAGGGUCUGUGAGUCUUUCAGCUUUCCUGCCAGACUAACGAAAAAAGGGAGAAGACCCAAGUAAAUAAAAUCAGAGAAGAAAAAGAAAACGUUACGAUUGAUAUUGCAGAAAUCCAAAGGAUCAUUAUUGGCUACUGUGAGCAACUAUAUGCCAAUAAAUUGGAAAAUCCAGUGGAAAUGAAUAAAUUUCUAAACACAUACUACCUACU
ensembl:lncRNA novel transcript